GUAAGAGAGGAAGAUAAUCAUCAUUUACUGUUAAAAACAUUUUGAAAAUUGAAGUUUUGUGUGUUCUUAUUGUAAUUUAUUUAUUUUAUAACAGGUAAACUUUAUACUGAAAGCUUCAUUCCCUUUAAAGCAGAGUUUUUAUAUGUGAGGUAAUCUUGCUGGGAGUGAAGGCAGUGCAUGUGACCGCUUGAUAUGAGAGACACAUACUGUAUUUAAAGGUCAACUUUAUACUGUAAGCUUCAUUCCAUUUAUAACAGAGUUUUCAUAUGUGAGUGAAUCUUGCUUAUGCUGGAAGUGAAGGCAGUGCGUAUGACCGCUUGAUACAAGAGACACAUUCUAUUUUUAAAGGUGAUGUAUGCAUGUUACUUUUAGUCCUGGCAUUAAAAUAAUAAUAUUUACUGUUUAAACAUUUUGUAAAUUGAGGUUUUGUGUGUUUUUGAUGUACUUUAUUUCUUUUAUAACAGGUCAACAUACUGUAAGCUUCAUUCACUUUA